GAUGAACGCUGGCGGCGUGCCUAAUACAUGCAAGUAGAACGCUGAAGCUUGGUGCUUGCACCGAGCGGAUGAGUUGCGAACGGGUGAGUAACGCGUAGGUAACCUGCCUCUUAGCGGGGGAUAACUAUUGGAAACGAUAGCUAAUACCGCAUAAAAGACGAUAUCGCAUGAUAUUGAUUUGAAAGGUGCAAAUGCAUCACUAAGAGAUGGACCUGCGUUGUAUUAGCUAGUUGGUGAGGUAACGGCUCACCAAGGCAACGAUACAUAGCCGACCUGAGAGGGUGAUCGGCCACACUGGGACUGAGACACGGCCCAGACUCCUACGGGAGGCAGCAGUAGGGAAUCUUCGGCAAUGGGGGCAACCCUGACCGAGCAACGCCGCGUGAGUGAAGAAGGUUUUCGGAUCGUAAAGCUCUGUUGUAAGAGAAGAACGAGUGUGAGAGUGGAAAGUUCACACUGUGACG
rnacentral:rRNA from 1 species